UACGUAGGGUGCAAGCGUUAGUCGGAAUUACUGGGCGUAAAGCGUGCGCAGGCGGUUGUGCAAGACCGAUGUGAAAUCCCCGGGCUUAACCUGGGAAUGGCAUUGGUGACUGCACGGCUAGAGUGUGUCAGAGGGGGGUAGAAUUCCACGUGUAGCAGUGAAAUGCGUAGAGAUGUGGAGGAAUACCGAUGGCGAAGGCAGCCCCCUGGGAUAACACUGACGCUCAUGCACGAAAGCGUGGGGAGCAAACAGG
rnacentral:rRNA from 1 species